UACGUGGGGGGCGAGCGUUAUCCGGAUUCAUUGGGCGUAAAGCGCGCGUAGGCGGCCCGCCAAGCCGGUGCGUCAAAGACCGGGGCUCAACCCCGGCACGCGCCCGGAACCGGCGGGCUGGAGUCCGGUAGGGGGGGGCGGAAUUCCCGGUGUAGCGGUGAAAUGCGCAGAUAUCGGGAGGAACACCGACGGCGAAGGCAGCCCCCUGGGCCGGCACUGACGCUGAGGCGCGAGAGCCGGGGGAG
rnacentral:rRNA from 1 species